ACUGUAAUGGAUGCAGUUUUCAUCUAUCAUAUAGGAGUAUCGAUUUACAGUUUGCAUUCAAAUCUUACUAGUCACACAAACAUCAGUCAUUCAGAGCAUAAACUUGGCAUCAUAGAACUGGUUCAGUGUUGUCUCUUGGGAUCUGUAUAUAACUACAAUUGGCCAACCUCCAAAUUCCCACACUUUU